UGAACGCUGGCGGCGUGCCUAAUACAUGCACGUCGAGCGAACGGACGAGAAGCUUGCUUCUCUGAUGUUAGCGGCGGACGGGUGAGUAACACGUGGAUAACCUACCUAUAAGACUGGGAUAACUUCGGGAAACCGGAGCUAAUACCGGAUAAUAUUUUGAACCGCAUGGUUCAAAAGUGAAAGACGGUCUUGCUGUCACUUAUAGAUGGAUCCGCGCUGCAUUAGCUAGUUGGUAAGGUAACGGCUUACCAAGGCAACGAUGCAUAGCCGACCUGAGAGGGUGAUCGGCCACACUGGAACUGAGACACGGUCCAGACUCCUACGGGAGGCAGCAGUAGGGAAUCUUCCGCAAAGGGCGAAAGCCUGACGGAGCAACGCCGCGUGAGUGAUGAAGGUCUUCGGAUCGUAAAACUCUGUUAUUAGGGAAGAACAUAUGUGUAAGUAACUGUGCACAUCUUGACGGUACCUAAUCAGAAAGCCACGGCUAACUACGUG
rnacentral:rRNA from 1 species